rnacentral:misc_RNA from 1 species
AGGCCUCCUGUUUGAGAUGGAGGGGUCAUAUCUCGGCUUACAGAAACGAUGUAAUGUCCAUGUAAGAGAUCAAUUGCAUCCUGUUUUAUACCAUCAGAGAAGUUAUUGAAAUAAUAGCGAGCAAGUGCAUUCCAACCAUCUUUAAGGAUCCCUUGGGCUGUCCUCUGGCCACAUCUUACAAAAUCUCCUUUUAAAGCAGGAGUUCCAGAAUAUUGAAUGCUUAUGUCAUCCCCAUGAUUGGCCCACAAUAUUUUAAAGCUUUCAUCAAAAUUUGGAUGUGAGCUAAUUGUUUCUUCUGCACCAAAAACACCAAUCCUUCUAAGUUGGAUUUCUAACAUUCUUCGACCAAUCAUGCUCUGGGUAACAUUUGUACGGUCUAAGCAAUCAAUGCAGUUGGUCCUUACAACCCCAAUUUGCUCCUUUAUUUUCUCAUCCUUUUCAUUCAAAAAAAGGUACCCACUUUUCUCAAGGAAAUCUGCAAUUUGGUCAUAAAGGAUAGA